GGGUAGCACGAGUGGGAAACGGUGGGUUAACAGUGAGUAAUGUGCCGUGCAGUUCGGAGAGAAGGGUGGAAAACUGAGUUUAAUACCAGAUAUGAGAUCAGACCCCAUGGUGGGGGUUGGAAAGUUUUACGGUGCAGGAUGUGCCCGCGGCCUAUCAGCUUGUUGGUGGGGUAAUGGCCUACCAAGGCGACGACGGGUAGCCGGCCUGAGAGGGUGAUCGGCCACACUGGGACUGAGAUACGGCCCAGACUCCUACGGGAGGCAGCAGUGGGGAAUAUUGCACAAUGGGCGGAAGCCUGAUGCAGCGACGCCGCGUGGGGGAUGACGGUCUUCGGAUUGUAAACCCCUUUCAGUAGGGACGAAGCGAGAGUGACGGUACCUGCAGAAGAAGCACCGGCCAACUACGUGCCAGCAGCCGCGGUAAUACGUAGGGUGCGAGCGUUGUCCGGAAUUAUUGGGCGUAAAGAGCUCGUAGGUGGUUGGUCACGUCUGCUGUGGAAACGCAACGCUUAACGUUGCGCGGGCAGUGGGUACGGGCUGACUAGAGUGCAGUAGGGGAG
rnacentral:rRNA from 1 species